rnacentral:lncRNA from 10 species
CAGUGGGAACCUGGGAGAGGGCAGAGGACUGCGCGGCGCUGGAUGGGGUAGAGCGAGGAGGGUCGAGGAGGGGCGCCACAGCCCACAGAGCAGGCACCGACCUCACUGCGCAUGUGCCCUGGGCGUCUUCCCGUCGGCCCCUUUGCCCACGUGGUGAACGCGGCGGAGCUGUGAGGGUGUGAGGGUCGCGCUCCUGCUGUCUGGACUUUUUCUGUCCUACUGAGACACGGCCGACGUGAGGAUACAGCAAGAUGGUGACUAUCUGUAAGCUAGAAGAGAGGGUACCCGUCAGAAACCAACCCUGCUGACACCUGAUCCUGAACUUCCAGCCUCCGGAACUACAUGAGAUGAUGAACCUCAAGUACCACCCCAGACAACAAGGCUGCUUCAUCAGGACACAAACCUGCCUGUACCAGGACCUCUGACCUGUGUGCAGCAGAAGGAGUGGGUCAACAUAGCUUCUGAAGAGCAUUCAUUGGAGUGAAUCUGCCAUUUAUUGGCUGUUCUUCAAACCAUAAGACUGAUAUUGAUGGUCAGCUUACAGAGAUUUUCACGCCCAUCCAAUCUGUAAUGUGGCUCAUCUGUGACUCAUUCAUCAGGAGCAUGAAUUUUAGUGGCGAAGAGAAUCUGACCAGCCUUGUUCCACAGAGCUCAUAUGAAAUGUGCUGAUGAUCUUUGUGCUGGCCGCAGGAAUGGUAAUAAAACCAAUUGGACUAACCAUAAUCCUUCUAUAGAUUAACAUGAUUUCAGAAUUAUUAACCACUUUCACAUGACUCUAUGUACAUAGCCACAACUGGUUACGUUGUACAUUAUGGUAAUCACUAUUACAUGGUGAUUUUGCUUCCAACAUUAUAUACACACAUUCAACAAAGCUGAUUUUAAUUUUGGGAGCCAGAUUCUAUUUAUUCUUCAGGGAAAAUAAAGCAGACAAAACCUUCAAGUUUUA